UGCAUGUCUUGAGUUUCACAUCGAUGGUAGGAGGCUGAGACAUUGGGAUGAUGGGUUUGCAGCCAUUGCAGGAGGUGGGAUCUGGAGCUGGAGGAACAGUGGUAGAAGACACUGAAGGGGGUUAGAAGUUGCGAAGGAAAUCAUACCAAGUGUCGGAAGAGAGUAUGAAGCGUGGAGAUGGACUUGUCAUGUCAUGCUUUCAAAGUUAUAAAGGGAAAAAUGUAUGAAACUUGCAUUGUGGAAUAUGAAGAACUUAGUGAAGGCUAGGGCAUGCAGAAGGCGAGCAGCCAAACUUGUUUGAGAGAGCGAAGGAGGGGUGUUGAAGCAAGGGUUAGGCGGGCCGCAAAGUGCAACCUAUGUGUUCGCUUGAGGGGCAUUGAAGAGUGUGGUAGAGGCCUUGGGAGAUGUUGGUAUGUGACAAGUGUCAAUGCAAGUGCGCUGUGAGGGUCGGAGACAAGGGCUGGAGACGCGUCGGCCGAAAGAGGGGACUAUACGAUGCAAACCAGCCUAUGUGAUGGUAUUUCAACCUAUGCGUUGGUAUGAGAUGGAGGAGUUCAGUUUAACUACCAAGCUUAGUGGACCAGAUGUCAUGUUUAAAUGCUUUAAGUACACUUAGUGACUGAGUUGUUACCGUAUUAAGUCAUCAGCUCAAGCUUGCCUUAAUGUAAAAGGGAAGUCAAGUAGGAGAGCUUGGUUUGACAUUCUCACUCGUGCUGAGGAAAGUUGUUGCCAAUUUGAAGAUUUAUCAAUAUUGAGGACGAUCUAGGGUUGCCAAGAGAAUUUCUCAUGAAUUUGAGCUGAAAGUUUGAAGAUUUAUCUAAAUGUUCCAAGCUUUUGGAUUUCUUAGGCAGGCGAAGAAGAUUGAUAAAUUUUGGGCUUUACUCGGAAUCAGAGGCUCAAAUUUUAAGGCAACUACAUCUGAGGGAUAAGCACGCAGUUGACAAGUGAGGUUAUGCGCGAUUGAGCGCAAGCGUUGGCUAAGGAGUGGGCGCGCAAGGUGAGCGGAAGGUUGGGAGGGAAGGAGGGCAUCGACCGGGCGUGCUAAGGAGAGUGUUAGCAAGUGCUUAACGCAUCAGCAUCGUGGGCGUGUCUUAGAGCCUAAGUAAGUGUUGUGAGCGCAUUGCCACUUAUGAGCUGAGCGCAAGAUAAAUUAUCUUUAUAUCAUGUUACGCUGAAGUAUGUUAUGUGAUGUAAUAUGCUAUGUAAUAGAGUAUGUUUUGCGAUUGUAUACGUGGAAAUCAUGGAGGUUGUCUAUGGGUAAUGUUAAACAUAAGAAUGUAAGUUAAGCUCAAGAGGGAGCUCAUAGUUUUUACCAAAAGUAUUUACUGAUGUUACAGGGCAAACAAAAAUAGGAAAAGUCUAUCAUCCUUUGAGGAAGUAGCCCAAGACAGUG